rnacentral:rRNA from 1 species
GGAAUCUUGGACAAUGGGGGAAACCCUGAUCCAGCCAUGCCGCGUGAACGACGAAGGCCUUAGGGUUGUACAGUUCUUUCAGCGGGGAAGAUAAUGACGGUACCCGCCGAAGAAGCCCCGGCUAACUCCGUGGCAGCAGCCGCGGUAAUACGGCGGGGGCUAGCGUUGUUCGGAAUUACUGGGCGUAAAGCGAACGUAGGCGGACUGUUUAGUCGGGGGUGAAAUCCCGGGGCUCAACCCCGGAACUGCCUCCGAUACUGGCAGUCUGGAGUCCGAGAGAGGUGAGUGGAAUUCCGAGUGUAGAGGUGAAAUUCGUAGAUAUUCGGAGGAACACCAGUGGCGAAGGCGGCUCACUGGCUCGGUACUGACGCUGAGGUGCGAAAGCGUGGGGAGCAAAC